GACGUAGGGCGCGAGCGUUGUCCGGAUUUAUUGGGCGUAAAGAGCUCGUAGGCGGCUUGUCGCGUCGACUGUGAAAACCCGUGGCUCAACUGCGGGCCUGCAGUCGAUACGGGCAGGCGUAGAGUUCGGUAGGGGAGACUGGAAUUCCUGGUGUAGCGGUGAAAUGCGCAGAUAUCAGGAGGAACACCCGGUGGCGAAAGGCGGGUCUCUGGGCCGAAACUGACGCUGAGGAAGCGAA
rnacentral:rRNA from 1 species